rnacentral:rRNA from 1 species
AGCGAACGCUGGCGGCAGGCCUAACACAUGCAAGUCGAACGAACUCUUCGGAGUUAGUGGCGGACGGGUGAGUAACACGUGGGAACGUGCCUUUAGGUUCGGAAUAACUCAGGGAAACUCGUGCUAAUACCGAAUGUUCCCUUCGGGGGAAAGAUUUAUCGCCUUUAGAGCGGCCCGACUCUGAUUAGCUAGUUGGUGAGGUAAAGGCUCACCAAGGCGACGAUCAGUAGCUGGUCUGAGAGGAUGAUCAGCCACAUUGGGACUGAGACACGGCCCAAACUCCUACGGGAGGCAGCAGUGGGGAAUCUUGCGCAAUGGGCGAAAGCCUGACGCAGCCAUGCCGCGUGAAUGAUGAAGGUCUUAGGAUUGUAAAAUUCUUUCACCGGGGACGAUAAUGACGGUACCCUAAGAAGAAGCCCCGGCUAACUUCGUG